CAGCAGUGAACACCGCCAGCACAGAACAGUUGGCGUGCUUUAGAGAAUAUAAGCAGCUGCAGCAAGGAAAGCAAUGGUGGAAAGCAACAAAGCCUGCUUUCAUUAAACCUGGAUAUUAUAAAUCUGCACCAGCCUCAGGAAAUCCAUACACAUGGGACUCAGUCAGCAGGAGUGCCAACUCUUUUCCCCUGGAGAAGGCUUUGUGUAGACCGAAGAGUGGUGUUGAGGCCCCCUCUCAUGUGAGCCAAAGUAAUGAGGUAGCAGGUUAUUGAAGACUCUCCAUUGGGUCACUUUCAACUCCUUUCAACUACCUCAAUCCUCAUGUGCAUCAUGGGUUUAAUACUGUUGGACGCAGAUAUCUCUAUGGUCCUCCAUCUGAACUAUCUGGAUAUGUGGAUAAGGGCUUCCCAUCUUGUGCUCAGAUUUGUCAUGAUUGGCAGUCAGAGUCCAAUUCCCUGGAAAAUGAGGAACUCUGCAAGACAUCUAACACUAAGCAGAUCAGGCCCCAGAUGAAAUAAUCCAGAAACAAGAAGAGCUUGCUUGCGAUUGGAGCAUCAAGAAGAAAAAUUUACUGUGCGUUUUCCU